GUCUAUGGCCAUGCCACCAUGAACAAGCCCGAUGUCUGAUCUCGGAAGCUAAGCAGGGUCAGGCCUGGUUAGUACUUGGAUGGGAGACCAUCUAUGAAGACCAGGUGCUAUAAGCA
rnacentral:rRNA from 1 species